rnacentral:rRNA from 1 species
GAGUUUGAUCAUGGCUCAGGACGAACGCUGGCGGCGGGCUUAACACAUGCAAGUCGAAGGAGAAGGUAGAAGCUUGCUUUUACUGGAGACUGGCGGACGGGUGAGUAACGCGUAGAUAACCUGCCUAUAGCUGGGGGAUAACACUGCGAAAGUGGUGCUAAUACCGCAUAAUGCAGCGGGGCCGCAUGGCCAUAGUUGUUAAAGGUUUCGGCCGGCUAUAGAUGGGUCUGCGUGCUAUUAGUUAGUUGGUAGGGUAACGGCCUACCAAGGCGAUGAUAGCUAGGGGGCCUGAGAGGAUGAUCCCCCACACUGGGACUGAGACACGGCCCAGACUCCUACGGGAGGCAGCAGUGAGGAAUCUUGCGCAAUGGGCGAAAGCCUGACGCAGCCACGCCGCGUGCCGGAUGAAGGCCCUAUGGGUUGUAAACGGCUUUUACUAGGGAAGAACGAGAGGGUUUCGAUCUUCUGUGACGGUACCUAGUGAAUAAGCACCGGCUAACUCCGUGCCAGCAGCCGCGGUAAUACGGAGGGUGCAAGCGUUGUCCGGAAUCAUUGGGUGUAAAGGGUACGUAGGCGGGAGCCUAAGUCUGGGGUGAAAUCUUGCCGCUUAACGGUAAAAUGGCCCUGGAUACUGGGUUUCUUGAGUGCAGAAGAGGCAGGUGGAAUUCGUGGUGUAGCGGUGAAAUGCUUAGAUAUCACGAAGAACAUCAGUGGCGAAAGCGGCCUGCUGGUCUGCAACUGACGCUGAGUACGAAAGCGUGGGGAGCGAACAGGAUUAGAUACCCUGGUAGUCCACGCCGUAACGAUGCAUACUAGUGUUGGCCUUUGGGCCAGUGCUGCAGUAACGCAUUAAGUAUGCCACCUGGGGGAGUACGUCGGCACGAUGAAACUCAAGAAUGACGGGGCCGCACAGCGUGAGCAUGUGCUAUCGAUGCACGCGAGACUACUUGGCUAAUCACAGUGAUGUCUCUGGAACAGAGUCUUAGUACUAUGAAGGGCUGCAUGCUGUCGUCAGCCCUGCCUGAGGUUGGCUAAGUCCGCACGAGGCCAUCCUUGUAGUACAGACGUACGCGACUUAGCGAUCUACAGAUUGCAGAUGUGGACAGUCAGUUCA